rnacentral:rRNA from 1 species
AGCGAACGCUGGCGGCAGGCCUAACACAUGCAAGUCGAACGAACUCUUCGGAGUUAGUGGCGGACGGGUGAGUAACCCGUGGGAACGUUCCUUUUGGUUCGGAAUAACUCAGGGAAACUUGUGCUAAUACCGAAUGUGCCCUUCGGGGGAAAGAUUUAUCGCCAUUAGAGCGGCCCGCGUCUGAUUCGCUAGUUGGUGAGGUAACGGCUCACCAAGGCGCCGAUCAGUAGCUGGUCUGAGAGGAUGACCAGCCACACUGGGACUGAGACGCGGCCCAGACUCCUACGGGAGGCAGGAGUGGGGAAUCUUGCGAAAUGGGCGAAAGCCUGACGCAGCCAUGCCGCGUGAAUGAUGAAGGUAUUAGGAUUGUAAAAUUCUUUCACCGGGGACGAUAAUGACGGUACCCGGAGAAGAAGCCCCGGCUAACUUCGUG